UUUCUACUCCCUCCAUCCGAAAAUACUUGUCAUCAAAAUGGAUAAAAAGAGAUGUAUCUAAAACUAAAAUAUGUCUAGAUACAUUUCCUUUUAUCCAUUUUGAUGACAAGUAUUUCCGGACGGAGGGAGUAUUUG
rfam:Triticum aestivum genome assembly, contig: Triticum_aestivum_CS42_TGACv1_scaffold_332813_4BS